rnacentral:rRNA from 1 species
UACGUAGGUGGCAAGCGUUGUCCGGAAUUAUUGGGCGUAAAGCGCGCGCAGGCGGUCCUUUAAGUCUGAUGUGAAAGCCCACGGCUCAACCGUGGAGGGUCAUUGGAAACUGGAGGACUUGAGUACUGAAGAGGAAAGUGGAAUUCCACGUGUAGCGGUGAAAUGCGUAGAGAUGUGGAGGAACACCAGUGGCGAAGGCGGCGAUCUGGGUCGAUACUGACGCUGGAGGUGCGAAAGCGUGGGGAGCAAACAGG